rnacentral:rRNA from 5 species
GACCUCAGAUCAGGCAAGGCUACCCGCUGAAUU